UACCAGCUCUCCGAGUGGUAGGGAUGUUUAUUGGGAUUAAAGCGUCCGUAGCCGGCUUAGCAAGUCUCCUGUUAAAUUCAGCGACCUAAUCGUUGAGCCGCGGGAGAUACUACUAGGCUAGGAGGCGGGAGAGGUCAACGGUACUUCCGGGGUAGGGGUGAAAUCCUAUAAUCCCGGGAGGACCACCAGUGGCGAAGGCUGUUGACUAGAACGCGCUCGACGGUGAGGGACGAAAGCUGGGGGAGCGAACCGGAUUAGAUACCCGGGUAGUCCCAGCUGUAAACGAUGCGAGCUAGGUGUUGGGGUGGCUACGUGCCACUUCAGUGCCGCAGGGAAGCCAUUAAGCUCGCCGCCUGGGGAUACGGCCGCAAGGCUGAAACUUAAAGGAAUUGGCGGGGAGCACCACAAGACGUGAAGCUUGCGGUUCA
rnacentral:rRNA from 1 species